GAUGAACGCUGGCGGCGUGCCUAAUACAUGCAAGUCGAGCGGACUUGACAGAGCUUGCUCUGUUCAAGUUAGCGGCGGACGGGUGAGUAACACGUGGGCAACCUGCCCUGCAGAUUGGGAUAACUCCGGGAAACCGGGGCUAAUACCGAAUAACAUUGAAAACCUCAUGGUUUUCUUUUAAAAGGCGGCUUCGGCUGUCACUGCAGGAUGGGCCCGCGGCGCAUUAGCUAGUUGGUGAGGUAACGGCUCACCAAGGCGACGAUGCGUAGCCGGCCUGAGAGGGUGAUUGGCCAACCUGGGACUGAGACACGGCCCAGACUCCUACGGGAGGCAGCAGUAGGGAAUCUUCCGCAAUGGACGAAAGUCUGACGGAGCAACGCCGCGUGAGUGAAGAAGGUUUUCGGAUCGUAAAACUCUGUUGUUAGGGAAGAACAAGUACCGGAGUAACUGCCGGUACCUUGACGGUACCUGACCAGAAAGCCACGGCUAACUACGUGCCAGCAGCCGCCGUAACAC
rnacentral:rRNA from 1 species